rnacentral:lncRNA from 1 species
UUUGUUCAUAAAUAUAUAUAUAUAUAUAUAGACUAUAUAGUAAUAUAUAAGUAGUCUUCUUAAUUCUUAUUCACAUUACAACAAGAAAUGUGAAUGUUGUAGGAAGAAGAUGAAAAACACAGAAAGUAGGAAAACAUUUCCAUCGUUUCAUCUUAUUACGAAUUUGUUUGCGAUAUAAUCUGAAUAACAACAAUAGAAACUUUAUGAAAAUAUGACAUUUUUUCAUAAAAAGAAUUACAUAAUAUGAUAGAAAGAGAGAGAAAAAUUAAACCAAAAAUGCCUGGCCUUCCCAUGUACGCCGACGACUCAUGAUAACUUUUAUUUUCCCGGCGAAACACCGAAGUAGCCUCUAAUGCAUCUCUUCGCAUUCAUUACCGGUGAGAGUGUAUAUAUAUAGUGGAUAUUAUGCGUAUAAAUAUGCCAAUAUGUACGUACAUGUAAGUGCUCUUUCAUGUCUCCUCUUCGUCUUCAUCAUCUUGUGGAGAAUUCUUUUUUUCUUUCUGCGUCUUGGUUUGAGAGAAAAGAGAGAGGAGAUGAACUUUAAAACUCUUGUCCUAGUUUGGAGUUUGUUUUAUAUGUAUAUACAUAACUCACACGCAUGUUCACUAAAUAGAAUUAUGGUUUUUUUUUUUUUAAUUAAAUCAUAUCAUUGAAGGAAAACAAGAACUUUGACUUACGUGUUCGACCAUCAGUGUGAACUUCUAGACAAAACUUGCCUUCUUGCAAAUUUCAGUUUUUCUUUUAUGAGGUGUCAAUUUUGGUAGAUAAAUGGUGCUACUAAAAUGACAUUAAAAAUUUGCUAUCAUGUAAAUAGACAAAAUAGAUACACACAUGUUAACGUGACUAUACUAAUAGAUGUUGACUAUGGUCACUGCCAAAUGAAACAAAUUUUAUUAUUAUAGGCAGAAAUAAAGUGUUUUAGAAUAUAUUAGGGGAGUUAAUUUGUGUUGAUAUGUUUCUUGUUGUUGUUGCCUAUAGAAUACAUUAGGUAGAAAAUUUUGUUGUCGUUGCCUAAUUCUGGUUUCGUGUGUUGAAAUUAAUGUUUGUUGCCUCUAUGGAGAUUUGAUUUGUGUUGGCUUGUGCUUUGAUUUUUUUAUUAGAUAACUUGGUGUUUGGAAGAGCUAGUAUGACCAAUCAAAUGUGUCAACCGACCUUAGGGAAAGAGAUUGGUAGAUUAAGCUAGUGUUAUCAUUUCC